rnacentral:rRNA from 1 species
UACGUAGGUGGCGAGCGUUGUCCGGAUUUUACUGGGCGUAAAGGGAGCGUAGGCGGACUUUUAAGUGAGAUGUGAAAUACCCCGGGCUCAACUUGGGUGCUGCAUUUCAAACUGGAAGUCUAGAGUGCAGGAGAGGAGAAUGGAAUUCCUAGUGUAGCGGUGAAAUGCGUAGAGAUUAGGAAGAACACCAGUGGCGAAGGCGAUUCUCUGGACUGUAACUGACGCUGAGGCUCGAAAGCGUGGGGAGCAAACAGG